UGCGCUCGUAGCUCAGUGGUAGAGCACUCGACUUUUAAUCGAGGUGUCAUAGGUUCGACCCCUAUCGGGCGCAUC
rnacentral:tRNA from 1 species